rnacentral:lncRNA from 1 species
GGAACAGGGUGCUUUAUUCUAUCACAUAUGCCAGAAAAGCACUGCAAAUCUCCAAGGUGAAAAAGGAACAUCAAAUCACUGAUUGGAAGACGAAAAGCUUCACACACCAGGCAACCCCAAAUCCCACUGUCCCGCUGCCUUUCCUUUCUGUUCAUCUUUUCAUUCCUAAUGCAUGAAUCCCAACCUGAUCCCCCCAUCUCCCUGAGCCUGGAGCACCUUGAGCAAUUCAGUGGCUGUGAAAUCUCCUGCCGACUUUGUUUUGGCUGGAAUUGCAGCCUGCAUGUGGGAGAAUUAAGCAAAAAACGUCACAGAGCUAAUAGUAUGCCUCUGUGCGGUGGUAGGCAGAUCAGUAGAAAAAGGUGACAUCAUGGAUAAUUCCAGCACUUCAGGUCUGCAGUGCAAAGCGGCUUCCUUGCUACACAUCAGAGUCAGAACCUGGAUUUGAGACAAAAACAACUCUCCCUUCUCAUAAAUAUCUGCUCUGGGGCUCAAAAAUAUUCUAAGUGCAAUGGCUCAGAAAUGGUCCCUUUCCCUUGGAGACCCAUCUGAUUUUCC